AUUUACUUAAAAUUUAAAGAAUUUGGCGGUAAUUUAGUCUUAUUAGAGGAACCUGUUUUGUAAUCGAUAACCCACGAAAUAUCUUACUUGUUUUUAAUAGUUUGUAUACCAUCAUAGAAGAUAAUUUUGAUAAAAUAAAAUUGUUGAAAUUAAAUUUAUUAAGAAAAUUAGAUCAAGGUGCAGCUUAUAAAUAAGUUAAAAUGGGUUACAAUAAAUUUUAUUUAUAUGAAUAUAAAAUGUAAGGAUAAUUAUAGAAGGAGGAUUUAAUUGUAAUUAAAGUUUAAUAAGCUAUAAUGAUAAAAGCUCUAAAUUAUGUACACAUCGCC
rnacentral:rRNA from 1 species